rnacentral:rRNA from 1 species
UACGAAGGGGACUAGCGUUGCUCGGAAUUACUGGGCGUAAAGGGCGCGUAGGCGGACAGUUAAGUCAGAGGUGAAAGCCCAGGGCUCAACCCUGGAAUUGCCUUUGAUACUGGCUGUCUUGAGUGCGGGAGAGGUGUGUGGAACUCCGAGUGUAGAGGUGAAAUUCGUAGAUAUUCGGAAGAACACCAGUGGCGAAGGCGACACACUGGCCCGUAACUGACGCUGAGGUGCGAAAGCGUGGGGAGCAAACAGG